ACCCUAUCCAGUCUCUACCCUAUCAGGUUUCUACCCUAUCCAGGUUUCUACCCUAUCCAGUCUCUACCCUAUCAGGUUUCUACCCUAUCCAGUCUCUACCCUAUCAGGUUUCUACCCUAUCCAGUCUCUACCUUAUCUAGUCUCUACCCUAUCCAGUCUCUACCUUAUCCAGUCUCUACCUUAUCCAGUCUCUACCUUAUCUAGUCUCUACCCUAUCCAGUCUCUACCUUAUCCAGUCUCUACCCUAUCCAGUCUCUACCCUAUCCAGCCUCUACCCUAUCCGGUCUCUACCCUAACCAGUCUCUACCUUAACUAGUCUCUACCUUAUCCAGUCUCUACCUUAUCUAGUCUCUACCCUAUCCAGUCUCUACCCUAUCCAGUCUCUACCUUAUCUAGUCUCUACCCUAUCCAGUCUCUACCCUAUCCAGUCUCUACCCUAUCCAGUCUCUACCCUAACCAGUCUCUACCCUAACCAGUCUCUACCCUAUCUAGUCUCUACCCUAUCCAGUCUCUACCCUAUCCAGUCUCUACCCUAUCCAGUCUCUACCCUAUCCAGUCUCUACCCUAACCAGUCUCUACCCUAACCAGUCUCUACCCUAUCCAGUCUCUACCCUAUCCAGUCUCUACCCUAACCAGUCUCUACCCUAACCAGUCUCUACCCUAUCCAGUCUCUACCCUAUCCAGUCUCUACCUUAUCUAGUCUCUACCCUAUCCAGCCUCUACCCUAUCCAGCCUCUACCCUAUCCGGUCUCUACCCUAACUAGUCUCUACCUUAACUAGUUUCUACCUUAACUAGUUUCUACCCUAACCGGUCUCUACCCUAACCGGUCUCUUCCCUAUCCAGUCUCUUCCCUAUCCAGUCUCUACCCUAACCAGUCUCUACCCUAACCAGUCUCUACCUUUCUAGUCUCUACCUUUCCAGCCUCUACCCUAUCCGGUCUCUACCCUAACUAGUCUCUACCUUAACUAGUUUCUACCUUAACUAGUUUCUACCCUAUCCAGUCUCUACCCUAUCCAGUCUCUACCUUAUCUAGUCUCUACCUUAUCCAGUCUCUACCCUAUCCAGUUUCUACCCUAUCCAGUCUCUACCCUAUCAGGUUUCUACCCUAUCCAGUCUCUACCCUAUCAGGUUUCUACCCUAUCCAGGUUUCUACCCUAUCCAGUCUCUACCCUAUCAGGUUUCUACCCUAUCCAGUCUCUACCCUAUCCAGUCUCU